rnacentral:miRNA from 1 species
AAAUUUCUGAUUACUCCUAAAA